rnacentral:rRNA from 1 species
UACGAAGGGGGCUAGCGUUGCUCGGAAUCACUGGGCGUAAAGGGCGCGUAGGCGGCCGAUCAAGUCAGAGGUGAAAGCCCAGGGCUCAACCCUGGAAUUGCCUUUGAUACUGUUUGGCUAGAGACCGGAAGAGGUUAGUGGAACUGCGAGUGUAGAGGUGAAAUUCGUAGAUAUUCGCAAGAACACCAGUGGCGAAGGCGGCUAACUGGUCCGGUUCUGACGCUGAGGCGCGAAAGCGUGGGGAGCAAACAGG